rnacentral:rRNA from 1 species
AAUAGAUACCCAGGUAGUCCACCCCGUAAACGUUGGGAACUAGUUGUGGGGUCCUUUCCACGGAUUCCGUGACGCAGCUAACGCAUUAAGUUCCCCGCCUGGGGAGUACGGCCGCAAGGCUAAAACUCAAAGGAAUUGACGGGGACCCGCACAAGCGGCGGAGCAUGCGGAUUAAUUCGAUGCAACGCGAAGAACCUUACCAAGGCUUGACAUACACCAGAACACCCUAGAAAUAGGGGACUCUUUGGACACUGGUGAACAGGUGGUGCAUGGUUGUCGUCAGCUCGUGUCGUGAGAUGUUGGGUUAAGUCCCGCAACGAGCGCAACCCUCGUUCUAUGUCGCCAGCACGUAAUGGUGGGAACUCAUGGGAUACUGCCGGGGUCAACUCGGAGGAAGGUGGGGAUGACGUCAAAUCAUCAUGCCCCUUAUGUCUUGGGCUUCACGCAUGCUACAAUGGCCGGUACAAAGGGCUGCAAUACCGUGAGGUGGAGCGAAUCCCAAAAAGCCGGUCCAGUUCGGAUUGAGGUCUGCAACUCGA